UGGGGAAUCUUCCGCAAUGGACGAAAGUCUGACGGAGCAACGCCGCGUGAGUGAAGAAGGUUUUCGGAUCGUAAAACUCUGUCUUUUGGGGCGAACGUGAGUAUGGUGAACAAUCAUAGUCAGUGACGGUACCAAAGGAGGAAGCCACGGCUAACUACGUGCCAGCAGCCGCGGUAAUACGUAGGUGGCAAGCGUUGUCCGGAAUUAUUGGGCGUAAAGAGCGCGUAGGCGGGAUAGUCAGUCUGUUGUAAAGUGCGGGGCUCAACCCCGUGAUCGCAAUGGAAACAGCUAUUCUUGAGUGCAGGAGAGGAAAGUGGAAUUCCCAGUGUAGCGGUGAAAUGCGUAGAUAUUGGGAGGAACACCAGUGGCGAAGGCGACUUUCUGGACUGUGUCUGACGCUGAGGCGCGAAAGCCAGGGGAGCGAACGGGAUUAGAUACCCCGGUAGUCCUGGCCGUAAACGAUGGGUACUAGGUGUGGGAGGUAUCGACCCCUUCCGUGCCGGAGUUAACGCAAUAAGUACCCCGCCUGGGGAGUACGGUCGCAAGACUGAAACUCAAAGGAAUU
rnacentral:rRNA from 1 species